rnacentral:rRNA from 1 species
AAUGAACGCUGGCGGCAGGCUUAACACAUGCAAGUCGAGCGGGGUGAUGGUGCUUGCACUAUCACUUAGCGGCGGACGGGUGAGUAAUGCUUAGGAAUCUGCCUAUUAGUGGGGGACAACAUCUCGAAAGGGAUGCUAAUACCGCAUACGUCCUACGGGAGAAAGCAGGGGAUCACUUGUGACCUUGCGCUAAUAGAUGAGCCUAAGUCGGAUUAGCUAGUUGGUGGGGUAAAGGCCUACCAAGGCGACGAUCUGUAGCGGGUCUGCGAGGAUGGUCCGCCACACUGGGAUUGAGACACGGCCCAGACUCCUACGGGAGGUAGCAGUGGGGAAUAUUGGACAAUGGGGGGAACCCUGAUCCAGCCAUGCCGCGUGUGUGAAGAAGGCCUUAUGGUUGUAAAGCACUUUAAGCGAGGAGGAGGCUCUUUUGGUUAAUACCCAAGAUGAGUGGACGUUACUCGCAGAAUAAGCACCGGCUAACUCUGUGCCAGCCGCCGCAGUAA